rnacentral:piRNA from 1 species
UCAAAACAAACAACAACAAAAAUAUAAGUAC